CGGGGUGAGUAACGCGUGGGUAACCUGCCUCAUACAGGGGGAUAACAGUUAGAAAUGGCUGCUAAUACCGCAUAAGCACACAGUGUUGCAUGACACAGUGUGAAAAACUCCGGUGGUAUGAGAUGGACCCGCGUCUGAUUAGCUGGUUGGUGGGGUAACGGCCUACCAAGGCGACGAUCAGUAGCCGACCUGAGAGGGUGACCGGCCACAUUGGGACUGAGACACGGCCCAA
rnacentral:rRNA from 1 species